CAGAAUUUGCCCUGUCCUCUCGAGGAUAGGGCCUCUUCUAAACCGUGUAUACAUACCUUUGUUGCUUUGGCGGGCCGCCUUUUCGGCGUUGGCUUCGGCUGACUGCGCCCGCCAGAGGACCCCAACUCUUCUGUUUAGUAUUGUCUGAGAACUAUAUAAUAGUUA
rnacentral:misc_RNA from 1 species